rnacentral:lncRNA from 1 species
UUGUUGUGCCAUCACCCAGCUUGCCUCUUUGAGCACUUCAGUUGGAGUCUGCAUCUAUUUUUCUAUCAGGCAGAAAUUGUGAGAACAACUGACUGAUCAAGAACCAUCUCAAAGGGAAAGAGAAGGCAAAGGAGAGGGAAAAGCAAUCUGCACUGGCAGGUGGACUGCACAAUGAGAUCCCCUUGGUGCAGCCAGGGAAACAGAGUCACACCUGGUCUGGCAUCACUGCAGUUACCACCCUGGAAACAUCAGUGCCUCAGAGAUGAGACAUAGUUUCACAUCACAGCUCAUUCAAAUCACACUCCAUCA